rnacentral:rRNA from 1 species
AUGGCCAACCGGCCGGGUCCACCACAUUGUGAACGUGAUAGAGCGGCUAACAAAGUCGCGCAUAAGUCAACACUCGAUUUACGCGAGAACUUGCGCCAAAAAUUCGGCGCGACUAGAUCCAUCUAUGGAUCUAGGAAGUGCACUAUGGUACAAAACCAAAAUCGAACACUACAACCAUCCGAACACCAUGGCACAUCCCAAUACAGGGGUGCCGCACACCCCUUAUGGUUCACUGAUGAGGUGUUGGAUCACGAAUGCCCAGAAGGAUUCAAACCGGUGAACAUAGAGGCGUACGACGGGACCACAGACCCUGGAGUCUGGAUCGAGGACUUUAUCCUCCAUAUUCAUAUGGCUCGCGGAGACGAUCUCCAUGCCAUUAAAUACUUGCCCCUCAAGCUUAAGGGGUCAGCUCGGCACUGGCUGAAAAGCCUCCCCGAAAACUCAAUUGGAAGUUGGGAGGAGCUCGAGGAUGCUUUUCGGGCUAAUUUUCAAGGGACUUGUGUCCGACCUCCGGAUGCAGACGAUUUAAGUCAUAUAAUCCAACAGUCCGGAGAGUCCGCCCGAAAGCUUUGGAAUAGGUUCCUCACUAAGAAGAACCAAAUCGUCGACUGUCCGGACGCCGAAGCCUUAGCAGCUUUUAAACACAGCGUCCGAGACGAAUGGCUCGCCAGACACCUCGGCCAAGAAAAACCGAGAACAAUGGCAGCCCUAACAAGCCUCAUGACCCGCUUUUGUGCGGGCAAAGACGGCUGGUUGGCCCGUAGCAGCACCAGCAACCCAAGCACAUCCGAAGUCAGGGAUGGCAAUGGUAAACCAUGA